CGGAACCAAAAGAGCUUGCUCUUUUGGUUUAGCGGCGGACGGGUGAGUAACACGUGGGCAACCUGCCCUGCAGAUCGGGAUAACUCCGGGAAACCGGUGCUAAUACCGAAUAGUUUGGCGCCUCUCCUGAGGCGCUACGGAAAGACGGCAUCUCGCUGUCACUGCAGGAUGGGCCCGCGGCGCAUUAGCUAGUUGGUGGGGUAACGGCCCACCAAGGCGACGAUGCGUAGCCGACCUGAGAGGGUGAUCGGCCACACUGGGACUGAGACACGGCCCAAACUCCUACGGGAGGCAGCAGUAGGGAAUCUUCCGCAAUGGACGCAAGUCUGACGGAGCAACGCCGCGUGAGUGACGAAGGUUUUCGGAUCGUAAAACUCUGUUGUGAGGGAAGAAACCGUGCCAAUUAACUACUGGCACCUUGACGGUACCUCACCAGAAAGCCACGGCUAACUACGUGCCAGCAGCCGCGGUAAUACGUAGGUGGCAAGCGUUGUCCGGAAUUAUUGGGCGUAAAGCGCGCGCAGGCGGUCCUUUAAGUCUGAUGUGAAAGCCCACGGCUCAACCGUGGAGGGUCAUUGGAAACUGGAGGACUUGAGUGCAGAAGAGGAAAGUGGAAUUCCACGUGUAGCGGUGAAAUGCGUAGAGAUGUGGAGGAACACCAGUGGCGAAGGCGACUUUCUGGUCUGUAACUGACGCUGAGGCGCGAAAGCGUGGGGAGCAAACAGGAUUAGAUACCCUGGUAGUCCACGCCGU
rnacentral:rRNA from 1 species